rnacentral:rRNA from 1 species
GACGUAGGGGACGAGCGUUGUCCGGAUUUACUGGGCGUAAAGAGCGCGCAGGCGGUCGUUCAAGUCGCGUGUGAAAGCCCCCCGGCUCAACUGGGGAGGGUCACGCGAUACUGAUCGACUCGAAGGCAGGAGAGGGAAGUGGAAUUCCCGGUGUAGUGGUGAAAUGCGUAGAUAUCGGGGAGGAACACCAGUGGCGAAGGCGACUUCCUGGCCUGUUCUUGACGCUGAGGCGCGAAAGCUAGGGGAGCAAACGGG